rnacentral:rRNA from 1 species
UACGUAGGUGCGAGCGUUAAUCGGAAUUACUGGGCGUAAAGCGUGCGCAGGCGGCGCGUUAAGACAGGUGUGAAAGCCCGAGCUUAACUUGGGAAUUGCGCUUGUGACUGCACGGCUAGAGUGUGUCAGAGGGGUAGAUUCACGUGUAGCAGUGAAAAUGCGUAGAGAUGUGGAGGAAAAUACCCGAUGGCGAAAAGGCAGCCCCUGGGGAUAACACUGACGCUCAUGCACGAAAAGCGUGGGGAGCAAAACAGG